GACGAACGCUGGCGGCGUGCCUAAUACAUGCAAGUCGAGCGCAGGAAACCGUCUGAACCCUUCGGGGGGACGACGGCGGAAUGGGCGGCGGACGGGUGAGUAACACGUAAAGAACCUGUCCAUAGGUCUGGGAUAACCACGAGAAAUCGGGGCUAAUACCGGAUGUGUCAUCGGACCGCAUGGUCCGCUGAUGAAAGGCGCUCCGGCGCCGCCCAUGGAUGGCUUUGCGGUGCAUUAGCUAGUUGGUGGGGUAACGGCCCACCCAGGCGACGAUGCAUAGCCGACCUGAGAGGGUGAUCGGCCACACUGGGACUGAGACACGGCCCAGACUCCUACGGGAGGCAGCAGUAGGGAAUCUUCCACAAUGGACGAAAGUCUGAUGGAGCAACGCCGCGUGAACGAUGAAGGCUUUCGGGUCGUAAAGUUCUGUUGUAAGGGAAGAACAAGUGCCGCAGGCAAUGGCGGCACCUUGACGGUACCUUGCGAGAAAGCCACGGCUAACUACGUGCCAGCAGCCGCCGUAAGAC
rnacentral:rRNA from 1 species